rnacentral:rRNA from 1 species
ACGAACGCUGGCGGCGUGCCUUAAGCAUGCAAGUAGAACGAGUUUUACUUGUGCCGUAAGACACGAGCAAAGCUAGUUGCGAACGGCUGAGUAUAAGAUAGGAAUCUUUCCUUUGGUGGGGAAUACCUCGUCGAAAGACGAGCUAAUACCGCAUAACAUCUACGGAUAAAAGCGAUUAACUUCGCGCCGAUUGAGGAGCCUAUCUCCCAUCAGGCAGUUGGUAGGGUAAUGGCCUACCAAACCUACGACGGGUACCCGCUCUGAGAGGAGAACCGGGCAGAAUGGGACUGAGACACGGCCCAUACACCUACGGGUGGCAGCAACUGGGAAUCGUACGCAAUGGACGAAAGUCUGACGUCGCGGACGCCGCGUGAGGGAUGAAGGUCUUCGGAUUGUAAACCUCUUUUGCCAUAGUUGAGAAACUAUGGAGAAUAAGCACCUGCUAACCUCGUGCCAGCAGCCGCGGUAAUACGAGGGGUGCAAGCGUUGUCCGGAUUUACUGGGCGUAAAGCGUUUCGUAGGCGAUUUUGUAAGUUAAACUUCAAAGACCGAGGCUCAACUUCGGGAAGGGGUUUAAUACUGCAAAAAUUGAAAUAUUUCGGGGUUACUGGAACUAUCGGUGUAGGGGUGAAAUCCGUUGAUAUCGAUAGGAACUCCAAGGGCGAAGGCAGGUAACUAGGAAUUAUUUGACGCUGAGGAACGAAAGCUAGGGGAGCGAAAGGGAUUAGAGACCCCUGUAGCCCUAGCCGUAAACUAUGCUCGCUAGUCCCGUGAUUUUUUGCGGGACGUAAGCUAACGCGUGAAGCGAGCCGCCUGGGGAGUACGAACGCAAGUUUAAAACUCAAAGGAAUUGACGGGGACCUGCACAACCAGUGGAGCAUGUGGUUUAAUUCGAGACGAACCGAAGAACCUUACCCGGGUUUGACAUUCUAUCGUUUUAGGUCACUAGAAAUAGAGAUUGAUUCCGACGAAAUUCGGAAUGAUAGAACAGGUGUUGCAUGGCUGUCGUCAGCUCGUGCCGUGGGGUGUUCCCUUCAGUGGGGGUAACGAGCGCAACCCCUGCCAAAUGUUGAAUUGUUCAUUUGGGACUUCCAGAUUUUAUAUUUGGAGGAAGUGGGGACGACGUCAAGUCAGCAUGGCCCUUAUGUCCGGGGCGACACACAUGCUACAAUGGAGCCGACAAUGGGUUGCCAAGCCGCAAGGCGGAGCUAAUCCCAUCAAACGGCUUCUCAGUGGGGAUUGGAGGCUGCAACUCGCCUCCAUGAACGUGGAAUUGGUAGUAAUCGCGCAUCAGCUAUGGCGCGGUGAAUACGUUAUCAGGUCUUGUACACACCGCCCGUCAAGGCAGUAAAGUUGGGGGCAGCCGAAUCUUGAUUGAGUCAAGAGAAGCUGACACCAGCGAUAAGGCUU